ensembl:lncRNA
GUUGGCCUGGGGACGUAAGUUGAUUCACAAAUAAGUCUGGAUGACAAGCAAAUAUAUAUAACUGGGAGUGACCAUCUGGUCUCUUAGGGCUGAUUUACAUUCAUGAGACAAAGAAUUACAUCCAAGAGGCUGCUCUAAUUAUGCACACAUGAAAUGCCCAGGCAACAAGGUAAACCAUCAUUGAUGAAAAUGACCAACCCUGCUCAAGGAACUCUUGGUGUAAUUUUGUACUCCGAGGAUAUCUGUGAAGGGAGAAUACCGUCUCUACACCAGGCUUCAGUGUACAACCUGCCAUUUAUAUGCAUACAGUACCCUCGCAAAGGAUGCCCUUGUUGACUGAAUAACAGUAGAGACAUUAUACAAAACUGAACCAUAGAUCACAGGUCUGCAGUUUCCCUGAAUCGCCACCAACAUGAGGAUGACAUCCAGGGACCAUUCCCAAGACCACUGGGAGGCCAAAAGAAUCCAUGACAAACCUUAAAAGUACAUUGUGUCUUACAUGGACUAGAACAGGUCCACUAGGGGAAACAUUUACCUGAGGGUUAGAGCCACUGGUGUGCGAGCGUAGCUGCCUAACAGAGCACUCAGGCCUCCCUUCGAGAAGCAAAGCAGACAAUGCAGGAUUUUUCAUUAUAGAAAUAGCAGUUGGCCAUACUGAAUCAUUUCCAAACAUGAGACUACAGUGGCAGGACCUCCACUUUAAAAGUUGGGUGGCCCUGGAAAUGAGAUCUGCACUGCUGUAGCUUGUAACAUUGAAUGCAGGGAGGCAGGGCACAGGCUCAGAGAGAACAUCUUAUAUUUAAUAAAUACAAGAUAUAACAACACUGAAACAUAGUGUUACAAACAGAUGGAACUCAACAAUGAUCGACAAGAUACAAGAUGUAAGAAGGAAUUGAUCAAGAAAACAGAUGAGGGCAAUAAUAACAAACAGGCAUCCGUGCUCCAAGCCUGCCAUGCCAGAAUGUGAAAGAGGUAAAUCAGACAUAGCCACCACAGGUGCGUAUCACCCUACAAUUAGCAAGCAGAAUGAAACAUGGAGAGAGAAAAUCAAUGUCUUGAUAUCUACACCCCCAUCGUCCUCUUGUUUGUCCUCAGGAGUAUUUGCUGAUUCAAAAGUUUUGGUGCUGAGCCAGACUAUAGUCCCUAACUAUAAGGACACCAUGGUGGUUGCUCGAUCUGCAUCAUCUGGGCUUAUCGAUAGACAUGACUAUGAAUGAUUUGUCAAUGAGCCCAGAAUUUGGAACACAUGCCAACAGUGAUGUCAUAAUAGCCUAGUAUUGGCAGAUGAUGCAACAGAUGCUGUGAGGAUAUUCAUGGAACUCCACUCAACUAAUGGAAUUUUCAUACAAAGAUAAUCUACUAAUUUCCCUCCCAUUAAAAUUUUCUACAUUUGGCAAAUAUUUGCGUUUAUGUUGAUUUAUGUUGGGGCUGGUAUGGAUGUCAACACUAAUUAACUAUGUUAAUGUCACCAAUCCACUGAAUCACAACAGCAAACAACUUUUACUUCAACCAUGAUAUCAUUACUGCUAGCUAUGCUACAGUAAUAACUUAUAUGAAUUAAAAGUAUAAUUUAGCAG